AUUGAACGCUGGCGGCAUGCCUUACACAUGCAAGUCGAACGGUAACAGGUCUUCGGAUGCUGACGAGUGGCGAACGGGUGAGUAAUACAUCGGAACGCGCCUAGUAGUGGGGGAUAACUACUCGAAAGAGUGGCUAAUACCGCAUGAGAUCUACGGAUGAAAGCAGGGGAUCGCAAGACCUUGUGCUACUAGAGCGGACGAUGGCAGAGUAGGUAGUUGGUGGGAUAAAAGCUUACCAAGCCGACGAUCUGUAGCUGGUCUGAGAGGACGAUCAGCCACACUGGACUGAGACACGGCCCAGACUCCUACGGGAGGCAGCAGUGGGGAAUUUUGGACAAUGGGCGCAAGCCUGAUCCAGCAAUGCCGCGUGCAGGAUGAAGGCCUUCGGGUUGUAAACUGCUUUUGUACGGAACGAAAAGCCCUGGGUUAAUACCCUGGGGUCAUGACGGUACCGUAAGAAUAAGCACCGGCUAACUACGUGCCAGCCGCCGCCGUAAGAC
rnacentral:rRNA from 1 species